rnacentral:rRNA from 1 species
CGGGGGGCAGCAGUGGGGAAUUUUGGACAAUGGGCGCAAGCCUGAUCCAGCAAUGCCGCGUGAGUGAAGAAGGCCUUCGGGUUGUAAAGCUCUUUUGUCAGGGAAGAAACGGUAGUCUCUAAUACAGAUUGCUAAUGACGGUACCUGAAGAAUAAGCACCGGCUAACUACGUGCCAGCAGCCGCGGUAAUACGUAGGGUGCAAGCGUUAAUCGGAAUUACUGGGCGUAAAGCGUGCGCAGGCGGUUAUAUAAGUCAGAUGUGAAAUCCCCGGGCUCAACCUGGGAACUGCAUUUGAGACUGUAUGGCUAGAGUGUGUCAGAGGGGGGUAGAAUUCCACGUGUAGCAGUGAAAUGCGUAGAUAUGUGGAGGAAUACCGAUGGCGAAGGCAGCCCCCUGGGAUAACACUGACGCUCAUGCACGAAAGCGUGGGGAGCAAACAGGAUUAGAUACCCGAGU